GACGAACGCUGGCGGCGUGCUUAACACAUGCAAGUCGAACGGUGAAGCGCCUUCCUUUUUGGUGGGUGUGGAUGAGUGGCGAACGGGUGAGUAACACGUGAGUAACCUGCCCCCUUCUUCUGGAUAACCGCAUGAAAGUGUGGCUAAUACGGGAUAUUCUGGGUCUGUCGCAUGAUGGGUCUGGGAAAGAUAUUGUUUCGGUGGGGGAUGGGCUCGCGGCCUAUCAGCUUGUUGGUGGGGUGAUGGCCUACCAAGGCGGUGACGGGUAGCCGGCCUGAGAGGGUGGACGGGCACACUGGGACUGAGACACGGCCCAGACUCCGACGGGAGGCAGCAGUGGGGAAUAUUGCACAAUGGGCGCAAGCCUGAUGCAGCGACGCCGCGUGAGGGAUGGAGGCCUUCGGGUUGUGAACCUCUUUCGCCAGUGAAGCAGGCCUGCCUCGUUUGUGGGUGGGUUGACGGUAGCUGGAUAAGAAGCGCCGGCUAACUACGUG
rnacentral:rRNA from 1 species